ensembl:lncRNA
GUGGUAUCCAUUGUUUAGUAGCUACUAUCUUGUCUCAUUGCUACAACUCCCGUACGGGCUCAGGAGAGAUGAAGGUUGAAAGUCUUACACAACCCAACCAAGCCGCACUGCUUCUUAACACAGCGUGCAUCCAACCCGGAAGCACCAAUGUGUCAGAGGAAACACCGUGCACCUGCCAGCCUUGGUUAGCGUGCACUGCACCCGGCCCUCCACAGGAGUCGCUGGCAUAAUGAAGGAUGAUGAGAUCCAGAAUUAUGGCGGUGACACCAUAAGCUGCUCUCUG